rnacentral:rRNA from 1 species
GACGAACGCUGGCGGCGUGCUUAACACAUGCAAGUCGAACGGAAAGGCCCUGCUUUUGUGGGGUGCUCGAGUGGCGAACGGGUGAGUAACACGUGAGUAACCUGCCCUUGACCUUGGGAUAACUUCAGGAAACUGGGGCUAAUACCGGAUAGGAGCUCCUGCUGCAUGGUGGGGGUUGGAAAGUUUCGGCGGUUGGGGAUGGACUCGCGGCUUAUCAGCUUGUUGGUGGGGUAGUGGCUUACCAAGGCUUUGACGGGUAGCCGGCCUGAGAGGGUGACCGGCCACAUUGGGACUGAGAUACGGCCCAGACUCCUACGGGAGGCAGCAGUGGGGAAUAUUGCACAAUGGGCGGAAGCCUGAUGCAGCAACGCCGCGUGCGGGAUGACGGCCUUCGGGUUGUAAACCGCUUUCGCCUGCGACGAAGCGUGAGUGACGGUAAUGGGUAAAGAAGCACCGGCUAACUACGUG